CAGCUUGGGGCCGAGAGACUCAACGGGUACGCCCGGGGUAAGAGUGAAAUCCUGUAAUCCUGGACGGACCACCAAUGGGGAAACCACUUUGAGAGACCGGACCCGACAGUGAGGGACGAAAGCCAGGGUCUCGAACCGGAUUAGAUACCCGGGUAGUCCUGGCUGUAAACAAUGCUCGCUAGGUAUGUCACGCGCCAUGAGCACGUGAUGUGCCGUAGUGAAGACGAUAAGCGAGCCGCCUGGGAAGUACGUCUGCAAGGAUGAAAAUUAAAGGAAUUGGCGGGGGAGCACCACAACCGGAGGAGCCUGCGGUUUAAUUGGACUCAACGCCGGAAAUCUCACCGGUCCCGACAGUAGUAAUGACAGUCAGGUUGACGACUUUACUCGACGCUAUUGAGAGGAGGUGCAUGGCCGCCGUCAGCUCGUACCGUGAGGGGUCCUGUUAAGUCAGGCAACGAGCGAGACCCACACUUCUAGUUGCCAGCAACACCCCUGCGGUGGUUGGGUACACUAGGAGGACUGCCAUUGCUAAAAUGGAGGAAGGAAUGGGCAACGGUAGGUCAGUAUGCCCCGAAUGGACCGGGCAACACGCGGGCUACAAUGGCUAUGACAGUGGGAUGCAACGCCGAGAGGCGAAGCUAAUCUCCAAACGUAGUCGUAGUUCGGAUUGCGGGCUGAAACCCGCCCGCAUGAAGCUGGAUUCGGUAGUAAUCGCGUGUCAGAAGCGCGCGGUGAAUACGUCCCUGCUCCUUGCACACACCGCCCGUCAAAGCACCCGAGUGGGGUCCGGAUGAGGCCGUCAUGCGACGGUCGAAUCUGG
rnacentral:rRNA from 1 species